AUUGAACGCUGGCGGCAUGCUUUACACAUGCAAGUCGAACGGUAACAGGCCGCAAGGUGCUGACGGGUGGCGAACGGGUGAGUAAUGCAUCGGAACGUGCCCAGUCGUGGGGGAUAACGCCGCGAAAGCUGCGCUAAUACCGCAUACGAUCUCUGGAUGAAAGCGGGGGACCGAAAGGCCUCGCGCGAUUGGAGCGGCCGAUGUCAGAUUAGGUAGUUGGGGGGGUAAAGGCCCACCAAGCCAACGAUCUGUAGCUGGUCUGAGAGGACGACCAGCCACACUGGGACUGAGACACGGCCCAGACUCCUACGGGAGGCAGCAGUGGGGAAUUUUGGACAAUGGGCGCAAGCCUGAUCCAGCAAUGCCGCGUGCAGGAAGAAGGCCUUCGGGUUGUAAACUGCUUUUGUACGGAACGAAACGGCUCUGGUUAAUACCUGGGGCUAAUGACGGUACCGUAAGAAUAAGCACCGGCUAACUACGUGUCAGCCGCCGCAGUAAGAC
rnacentral:rRNA from 1 species